GAUGGCAAUUUUUAGUGACACAACAUUUUUGCAAAACAAAUAAAGAAGAGUAUAUGCAGCCGUCAAAAUGAGAACUUUGUUAGGCUCGCACUGCCUCGGCGCCAAAAGCAAAUAGAAACGAUCCGGAAAAAACAAAAUGGAGGCGGAAAAAGCUCUCCAAGCAUCAGUGGUCCGUUAUUUACAUCAGUCUGGGGGCAUGGACCGCCUGAGGGCCGCUCUGGUGGCCCGGGCCGCGCUCUCCCCCGUGCCGAAGAUCCUCAAAGUGCCGGUCCUUGUGAAUCUCAUGGACGUGCGGGAGGCGGACGAGUGUCUGGCGGAAAUGGUGAUGACAGAGCCUAUGCAAGCCCAGCAGCUGUUCCACAACGUGCUGUACGUGGCAGCCUUGUCCACCUUGUCGGCCCUCCGCCCGUGCAUCACCUCGGGGGACGACCACUGCCCGCCGGUAGCCGCGACCGCCCUGCCAACCCUCAACGACCAGGUGUCGCUCUAUCCACAGGAGGAGAAGAGUAAAGCCGACAAAGAUGAGGAAAUUGAAUCGGUGGAUUUUGAUCUGUCGCUCCAGUGUCUGUCGCCUGAAGGGUCUCCAGAGUCCUCUGUGGCUGACGAGACGGAGACCCUCACCGCGGCACAGAUUUACGCCCCGCUGCGCGUGAGCGGGAUUCCUUGGGUCAAGGAGUGGAUGGUUAGUAGCGUGCGGGAUCUGCCUCUGCAUCUGAAGGAGCCAAUCCUUGCUUUGCUGGCCGGAAGGAUUUUGGCCGUAUCCUUACCGCAGCCCUACACAGUCUGGGCGAGGUAUGUCUGCAGCAACCCAGGCUGUGCGGGUACAGUGAAGGACCUCCACGUGAGAGUCUUCAGUGUCGGCCACGACGAGGCGGACACAGUGUAUCAUCAUCGACUCUGCAGGGUGUGCGGCUUCCACUUGGAGGAGGACCCUUCCUCGAGGGAGCUCAGCGAGAAGGCGCAGGUGGUGCUCGUGCCGGCCGAAGGCUCGAGCCUCACGAAGCCGCAGGCAGAGCACGCCAGGUUCCAGACGCUUACUCUCGUCCUCAGGGAUGAGAUGCUGCAGAGCGUGGAGCCAGGCCAGCGCCUCGAGGCCACGGUAAUGAUGGUGCCGAGGGCGUUCCCGGCGCUGCCGACGCUGGAGGCCGUGGUCGUCCAUCCGCCUCGACCCCUCCGGCCGCAUUCCACGCUUCCGUCUUUUUUUAGACGCCUGGUAGAAGACCGGCAGUCAUCGCCAUGGUCACUGGUGGUGACCCUGGCAUACAUGUUCGCAUCCACGGUGACACCCGCGGGCACCUUCCACACCUUCAAGUUGGCUCUCCUUCUCUCCCUCGCCUCUUGCUCGUCGUCGAAGGCAGGACUGGCAGUCCUCGGUGUGGGUAGCAAUACGACUCUCCUACUACGCCUCCUUCGGUACGGCGGUCGCUACGCCCCUUGCAAGGUCCACCACUCCUCCCUGGACUCUGUGGGUGGCGUGUGCGUGAAAGAGCCCGAAGGCCGGGUGUGGGUGCAGGGAGGGUCUUUGCUCUUGGCCCACGGGGGCGUCUGCGUCCUGGGGGACUUCUCUACCUUCAGAAAGGACGUCAGGCAGUCUGUGUGUCGAGCUCUAGAGAGUGGCGUCGUUCACGUGCAGUCCCCGCCUCACCUCCGUCAUAAAACGCCGCCUUUCAAGUACCCGCUUCGAGCUGCAGCGUGGGCGUGCUACGAUCCCGCUCAUGGGCGGCUACGAUCCUCCACAGAGCAUGACGAUACCUUUCUCCAUGUUCCCCUCGGAGACCUUACAAAGUCUAUCACUGACAUUUUUGGAUUGGUGAUAUACUGCGAGACGCCUGAUGGAGAAUGCGAGAGAGAGGCAGAAGAAGUGAUCACGCUGCAGACCCUCCUGGACAGCACGAACCCCGAGGAACCCCCUCAACCUCUGCUGCCCCCCGACCAACUUCUGCAGUUUCUUUCCAUAGCACGAAGUCUUGAUGUAGAAUUCAGCCUGGAGGCAGAAAAGUUAAUCCGCGGAUACUAUGUAGCCACUAGAAGACUUAGAGGCGACUGCGUACAAGGUGCUUCGGUGCCUAUCACAGCCAUACACACACUGUGAAGCCCACACCUCAUCUCCCAACUCACUGUGAUCUCCACUCCAUAUUGGGACGGAAGAAUGAUGAACAUAUGCUUUACUUCAAAAGACAACUCGAGGACUUUAUACUGACACAUACAGGCG
rnacentral:misc_RNA from 1 species